AGUAGUGGGGCAUGCAGAAGUUCCUGGAUCAAACCCGUGCCAUAGCAGUGACCGGAGCCACAGCAGUGACAAUGCCAGGUCCUUAACCACUCGGUCACCAGGCAACUCCAAAUGAGCAGUGUCCCGUGAAAGAAGAAAUGACCGAUACCAACUUGAUGUUGCAGAAGAAAUCAAGAGGGGUGAGUGUGUGGGGGAGAACGAUUCUUUACCCUGUCCGACUGACUCAAGGCAGGAACCCUGAUCAGAAACUUAAGAAAAAAGGCCACGAGGCUCAAACUGGAAA